rnacentral:rRNA from 1 species
GUAGUCCUAGCCGUAAACGGUGAGCACUAGGUGUAGGAGGCAUCGACCCCUCCUGUGCCGUAGCUAACGCAUUAAGUGCUCCGCCUGGGGAGUACGACCGCAAGGUUGAAACUCAAAGGAAUUGACGGGGGCCCGCACAAGCGGUGGAGCAUGUGGUUUAAUUCGAUGCAACGCGAAGAACCUUACCCAGGUUUGACAUGCACCGGACAGGUGUGGAAACACAUCCUUCCUUCGGGAUCGGUGCACAGGUGCUGCAUGGCUGUCGUCAGCUCGUGUCGUGAGAUGUUGGGUUAAGUCCCGCAACGAGCGCAACCCUUGUCCCUAGUUGCCAGCAAGUACAGUUGGGCACUCUAGGGAGACUGCCGUCGACAAGGCGGA